ACGCUGGCGGCAGGCCUAACACAUGCAAGUCGAGCGGUAGAGAGAAGCUUGCUUCUCUUGAGAGCGGCGGACGGGUGAGUAAUGCCUAGGAAUCUGCCUGGUAGUGGGGGAUAACGUUCGGAAACGGACGCUAAUACCGCAUACGUCCUACGGAGAAAGCAGGGGACCUUCGGGCCUUGCGCUAUCAGAUGAGCCUAGGUCGGAUUAGCUAGUUGGUGGGGUAAUGGCUCACCAAGGCGACGAUCCGUAACUGGUCUGAGAGGAUGAUCAGUCACACUGGAACUGAGACACGGUCCAGACUCCUACGGGAGGCAGCAGUGGGGAAUAUUGGACAAUGGGCGAAAGCCUGAUCCAGCCAUGCCGCGUGUGUGAAGAAGGUCUUCGGAUUGUAAAGCACUUUAAGUUGGGAGGAAGGGUUGUAGAUUAAUACUCUGCAAUUUUGACGUUACCGACAGAAUAAGCACCGGCUAACUCUGUGCCAGCAGCCGCGGUAAUACAGAGGGUGCAAGCGUUAAUCGGAAUUACUGGGCGUAAGGCGCGCGUAGGUGGUUAGUUAAGUUGGAUGUGAAAUCCCCGGGCUCAACCUGGGAACUGCAUUCAAAACUGACUGACUAGAGUAUGGUAGAGGGUGGUGGAAUUUCCUGUGUAGCGGUGAAAUGCGUAGAUAUAGGAAGGAACACCAGUGGCGAAGGCGACCACCUGGACUGAUACUGACACUGAGGUGCGAAAGCGUGGGGAGCAAAC
rnacentral:rRNA from 1 species